UACAGAGGGGGCAAGCGUUGUUCGGAAUUACUGGGCGUAAAGGGCGCGUAGGCGGCCCGUUAAGUCGAACGUGAAAUCCCCGGGCUCAACCCGGGAACUGCGUCCGAUACUGGCAGGCUUGAAUCCGGGAGAGGGAUGCGGAAUUCCAGGUGUAGCGGUGAAAUGCGUAGAUAUCAGGAGGAAUACCUAUGGCGAAAGCAGGUAUCUGGGCCAUCACUGACGCUGAGCUGCGAAAGCUAGGGGAGCAAACAGG
rnacentral:rRNA from 1 species